rnacentral:rRNA from 1 species
AGAGCGAACGCUGGCGGCAUGCUUAACACAUGCAAGUCGAGCGCCUCGGCAACGGGGAGCGGCAGACGGGUGAGUAACGCGUGGGAACAUACCCUCCGGUUCGGAAUAACUCAGGGAAACUUGAGCUAAUACCGGAUACGGCAACCAAGAGAGAUUUUGGCGGCGAAAGAUUUAUCGCCGGAGGAUUGGCCCGCGUCCGAUUAGCUAGUUGGUGUGGUAAUGGCGCACCAAGGCGACGAUCGGUAGCUGGUCUGAGAGGAUGGAUACGAGCCACAUUGGGACUGAGACACGGCCCAAACUCCUACGGGAGGCAGCAGUGGGGAAUAUUGGACAAUGGGCGCAAGCCUGAUCCAGCCAUGCCGCGUGAGUGAUGAAGGCCUUAGGGUUGUAAAGCUCUUUCACCCACGACGAUAAUGACGGUAGUGGGAGAAGAAGCCCCGGCUAACUUCGUGCCAGCAGCCGC